GACGAACGCUGGCGGCGUGCUUAACACAUGCAAGUCGAGCGAGGCCCCUCCUUCGGGAGGGAGCCCUAGCGGCGAACGGGUGAGUAACACGUGGGCAACCUACCUCUAGCUCUGGGAUAACCCCGGGAAACCGGGGCUAAUACCGGAUACGACGCAGUGAGACAUCUUGUUGCGUGGAAAGAUUUAUCGGCUAGAGAUGGGCCCGCGGCCUAUCAGCUUGUUGGUGGGGUCACGGCCCACCAAGGCGACGACGGGUAGCCGGCCUGAGAGGGCGAUC
rnacentral:rRNA from 1 species